ensembl:lincRNA
UGCUGCUGUGGUAGGGAAGUUAAUGGAGGUUACAGAGAGGUGUCGCUAGCCAAAUUAGAUUAGUUGGGAAAGUCCAAGAUUGUGGAGGGGAGUAACUGGUUGUUAGUGAAGAUGGGUUAGGAGUAAAAGCAGAGCUCAGCUGAAGUAAUUAUUUUAGUGAAGAUUACUCCUGGGUUCCAUGGUGCUGCCAAGAAUUGGGUGACAGAGUUAAUUAGGUUGUUAUGUGAUUAGAGUCAUGUGAGAAACUACUUAGGAGGAAGAGGACUGUGUAGUCAUCCCCAAAAAGGGAACAUUGUGGAAGAGCUGGGAUGCUAAAGAGGAUUAUUACGGGGACCAAGAGCGACGGUGAGAUAAGGCGUGGUGUGGGGGAGCUGCUGCGGUGUAGCAGCGAGGGCCUCACUCGAGACCAGGAUCGGCGGCUGCGGUCUCUCCUUGCCAAGAAUGAAGAUUUGUUAACGGCGCGGGAUGAGGACUGCACCCACACAGCUCUCACACAGCACAUGUGCCGCUAUUGCGCCCGGAGGGAGCAACGUGAGGAGGCCGCCCUCAGCGAGGGGGAAGCGAGCGUAGAGGCCACGUCCCUGAGCGGGCCGUUUGAUGUGGCCCUGGCAGAUCUGACGCAGCAGCAGGAGACAGACCCCGACAUUGGGCCGGUACUCUGCUGGAAGGCGGCGGGGACCUGGCCCAUGCAGGAGGAGCUCGCCCCUCAUCCCAAGUCCAUGAAGGUGCUGUGCGCACUGUGUCCAGUUCGGGAAGAGAGGGAGGGUGGUGGUCCUGCACCAAGAUUGCCUGGCUCCCUUCAGGGCUCGCGAGGGGGUGCUUGAAUGGGAUCGUGUGGAGGAGUCCGGUCCAGAUUUCACCGGGCCGUGGGGGGCUGUUGGGGAGGACUGCCAGACUCCACCUCCAUGCAGCGGGUGAACUCGCCGAGUGCUGAGCAUGCUGCAGGAUUGUGUACUGGAUGUAGGCAGGCUAUUCGAAGUCAGAGGGACGCCAGAGGUCUCAGGUGGGGGAAGUGUAGCGCAUUCGCCUGGCGCUGUGGCCGAGGAGCGCCCGGCUGUGGUACGCAGCAAGGGGCAGUACGGGAGUAGUAGUUGUCAGGGCGGGGACUAGGAAAGCCGCUGACCAGUGCAUCUGACCCACUGUAAAAUGGACGUAGUUUGGUGAUAUCACGGAUUCUUGUAAAUAGUUCCCUGGUUUAGGACCCCUCUUAUAUCUGAGUCACUGUGUCCGUCCUCGCCAAACCCGAAAAUACUACAUUAUUUUCUUUCAGCUUCUUUUUUAUUUCUUUGUAUAGCCAUUUCUGAAGAACAAUCGGGUGCAUAAUCAUGAUCCAAAUAUACUCUUUUGUUUUCAUAGAACGGCUCCUUUUCUCCCCAGGCUUUCAUUAAAACCUCUUCCUUGGUUCUAAAUCUUAGAAACCUGAUGACAAUAGAUCUUGGUCUGGACUCAGGGUUCACUGGUUUGGGGGCCAGAGCUCUGUGAACUCUUUCAAUCUCUAGAUCGAUCUCAGAGGGGAAUUCAAGUUGUUCUCUAAUAAACGUUUCAAUGAACUUGGUUAUUGACCCUCCUUCGCUCUCCUCUGGAAUUCCGUAGAUCCUCAGAUUCUGUUUCCUCGACCUGCCCUCCAAAUCCAUUAUUUUGGCCUCUAACUGCUUCUGUUUCUGCAGCAGGUGUAAAAGCACACCAUAUGUUUUUUUUACCCUACUCCUCUGUUAAUUAAUUCAUUCCUCCAUUUUGUUUAUCCUUUCAAUCUUCCUGUUUAUUUCUUCAGUAUGGUCCAUUAGUAUUUUGUUAAUAUCCCUUCUGAAAUCUUUCAGUUCGAUAAAGAUUUUUUCGGACUGGCUCCUUGCACCCCACUGGGUGAGGGGAGGACUAUUUCGGUCUCCCCGUUCCUUUUCAGAAUCCUUUGUUGGGUAGUUUUGGUGUUUUUACGUCCUCUUCCUCGUUUUUCCAUUGUCACCUAACACUUAGUGUUUGUUUUAAAUUAUGAUUUUGACAAGAUUGUUUUUUUUUUAAAACAACCAAGACAGUGAAAGUCCAAUACGCCCAGAGGGCGAGGGGUAAGUGGCGGUCCCAAUCCCACUGGUGCCGCGAGACCAGGGUGGCCAGUUGAGUGGAGAGCAUCCAGUUAAAACGCUCCACCAACCCUUUGCUCUGGAGAUGCAGAAGGGUGGUCCACGUUUUCUUAAUCCCCAGGCGCUGGCACACCCCCACGAACACCCAGGACUCAAAAUUCCACCCCUGGUUGCUGUGGAGCUCCUCCACCACCUCCAGCCUAACAAACAAUCCCUCCAGCAGAGUGUUGGAUACAGUGGACGUGCUCUGAUCUGGGAGGAUGUAGGCCUCAGGCCACUUCCCAAAAUAAUCCAUUGCCUCGCCACCAGGACAUAGCAGCUGCCAGCCUCGGUGCAUGGAAACAGGCCCAGCAUGUCCACCCCCACCCGCUCCAUGGACGCCCCCACCUGACGUUAUUGGAGGGGUGCCCAUGAGAGCCUGGGAGGACCCUUCUGGACCACGCAAACCAUGCACGUCUGGCAGAACUGCUCCAUGUCCCAGUGAGUCCCCAGUAGAAGUGGUCCUGGAGUCACUGCAGGGUUUUCGUGGAGCCAAAGUGCCCCAUGCCCAGCUGGCCAUGCACCACUUGGAGAACUGCCCCGCAGAGCGACCGCGGCACCACAAGCUGCCACCUGACCUCGCCGCUGGAGGGUACCCGCCACUCCUGGCGCAGCACCUCGUCCCUCACCUCCAAGGCCUCCCACAGUGCGCACAGCACCUUCAUGGACUCGGGGUGAGGGGCGAGCUCCUCCCGCGUGAGGUGGGUCCUUGCCGCCUUCCAGCGGAGCACCGGCCCGAUGUCGGGGUCUGCCCCGACCUGCUGCGCCAGGUCUGCUAGGCCCACACCAAACAGCCUGCUCAGGGACGUGGCCGCGACGCUCGCUUCCCCUUCACAUAAACUAUUCAGGUAGUUACACAGGGUAGUUACAAUUGGGUACAAGUAUAACAGGGGUCGUAAACCAGGGAACUAUUUACAAGAAUCAGAGCGAUCUCACCAGACUGUACUGUGCUGCAAUAUAAAGAUAUAGUUAAAAUAUUUCCCUUUGUAGUAGUGCUUAAGGGCAAAGAGUCACUAUUAGGAGAUGUGGCCAGUGAAGCCAUGGAACUAGUGAAACGUGUCUUUGUGGUAGCACAAAAUGAUACUGACCUGGCAGAGGCAGCUUGUAGAGCUGAAUAUUGGAAUCAGAAAUUACCAGGAAUACUUGAAGGUGUCUUACCUUUUUCAUAUCGUAUAAGACUGAAAGAUUCUGCUUGUCAAGUAGUUCACUCUCCACGUCGUGUUCCAGUACCCAUAAGAAUGGAGCUGUGUAAGGAGCUGGAUAAAAUGGAAGCUCUGAAGGUGAUUUAAAGAAUUGAGGAACCUACAUAAUGGGUCAACUCAAUGGUCUGUGUGAAGAAAAUUAAUGGUGCUUUGCACAUCUGCAUGGAUCCAAAAGACCUCAAUGAGUGCAUAGUGAGGGAACACUUUCAAAUUCCGAAUUCGGCAGUGAAAGGCAGUGAUAAAAGAAAGACAGUGCCUUUCUUUCUCACGAAGAGGUGUUGCCAUACCACACGGUGAUCCCGUUGGUGAGGACGCUCUCGAUGGUGCAGCGGUAGAAGUUCACCAACACAUGUAUUGGCAUCCCCCAUCGCUUGAGGCACCUCAAGAAAUAAAGGCGCUGCUGAGCCUUCUUCAUGAUAGAGUCAGUCAUCUUUAGAGAUGUGAAUUCCCAAAAACCUAAAGCUGGUGACUGUUUCCACUUCCGUUCCAUCAAUACUGAGUGGGCUGUGAGCGUAUGGUCUGUGUCUCCGAAAGUCCACUAUUAGCUCUUUCGUUUUCUUUAUGUUCAAGUCCAGGUUAUUGCUAUGACACCACCUAAGCAGCUGUACAACUUCAUCCUAGUUUCUAUUACAACAAUAAUGACAGCAAAAUGCAACAUCAAAAGGUUUCCAAAAUAACCACAAGUGAACAAGUUAAAGAAUUUUAACUUGCAGAUAACAAUGCAGAUGUUUACGAAGAAAUUGGAAUAUGCUACCAUUACCAGCUACUGUAUAGAAUUAUUAUAUUU